AAUAUAUUUGUUUCUUCGCAAGGAAAGUCAUCAUGUAAUAUGCAUUCAAAACCUACUGCUCUGUGAGAUCCGGAAUUGAAUUAUCGCGGGCAAAUUUCUCAUGGGUGUUCUACAUAACAGAGAAAUUGUAUGAAUAAGACAAAUAUGAUCUCUCCAUGAUUUCUACAUUUUCGGAUUCAGCGAACAUUUAAUCGUCGAUCAACGCAAAAUGAUAUGGUUUUUUCUAUAUGCAUGGAUAUCACCACUUUAUCUACCCAUAUCGAAACUUUAUAACUUCUGUGCCUUUUGUGGUAAAUUUAUGGAAUUUAACAGGGGAGUUUAUUUACUACAGCAACUGUUUGCUUGAUUUUCUUACAGUACAUUCAACAGUAUUUUAUAUUGACAUUAUCGUACAUACUUCUUUCGCUACAAGGUGAGAACUUCAAGUGAUUGUACAAUAUUUCAGGCGUUUCCAGAGCUUCGUACAUAAUGUAAUUUCCUAUAGUAUGAUUAAAUUUGCCGGG
rnacentral:lncRNA from 1 species